rnacentral:rRNA from 1 species
UACGGGGGGGGCAAGCGUUGUUCGGAAUUACUGGGCGUAAGGGGUUCGUAGGUGGCCAACUCAGUCAGACGUGAAAUCCCUCAGCUUAACUGGGGAACUGCGUCUGAUACUGGAUGGCUCGAGUGCAGGAGAGGAACGCGGAAUUCCAGGUGUAGCGGUGAAAUGCGUAGAUAUCUGGAGGAACACCGGUGGCGAAGGCGGCGUUCUGGACUGCAACUGACACUGAGGAACGAAAGCCAGGGGAGCAAACGGG